CCCUUAGAUGUUCUGGGCCGCACGCGUGCUACACUGAGUGGAUCAGCGGGUCAGGUUGCGCGAAAGUGUUUCCUAAUCUUUAAAUCCGCUCGUGAUGGGGAUUGACGGUUGCAAUUUUCCGUCAUGAACGAGGAAUACCUUGUAAGCGCGGGUCAUCAUCCCGCGCUGAAUACGUCCCUGCCCUUUGUACACACCGCCCGUCGCUCCUACCGAUUGAGUGGUCCGGUGAGGCUUUGGGAUCUGAGCGGAAAGAGCGUUUCGCUGUUUCUGCUCGGAAAACUCAGUCGAACCUUAUCAUUUAGAGGAAGGAGAAGUCGUAAC
rnacentral:rRNA from 1 species